AGAGAUUUAGUUUAUUUUAAAAUAGUGGUUUGUAACUCCAAAGAUUUUUUUUUUCUA
rnacentral:tRNA from 1 species